rnacentral:rRNA from 1 species
AUUGAACGCUGGCGGCAGGCCUAACACAUGCAAGUCGGGCGAGGGGCGGACGGGUGAGUAAUGUAUGGGUCUCUGCCAGAUGGUGGGGGAUAACUAGGGGAAAAGGUAGCUAAUACCGCAUACCAUCCAAAGAACCCAUAUGGGAUUCGCUUGUAGUUAAGGUAACGGCGUACCUAGGCGACGCUCCCUAGCUGGUCUGAGAGGAUGAACAGCCACACUGGGACUGAGACACGGCCCAGACUCCUACGGGAGGCAGCAGUGGGGAAUAUUGCACAAUGGGCGCAAGCCUGAUGCAGCCAUGCCGCGUGUAUGAAGAAGGCCUUCGGGUUGUAAAGUACUUUCAGUCGGGAGGCGUUACCGACAGAAGAAGCACCGGCUAACUCCGUGCCAGCCGCCGCGGUAAUAC